GCAGCCGCCGCGGGAAUACGUAGGUGGCAAGCGUUGUCCGGAAUUAUUGGGCGUAAAGGGCUCGCAGGCGGUUUCUUAAGUCUGAUGUGAAAGCCCCCGGCUCAACCGGGGAGGGUCAUUGGAAACUGGGAAACUUGAGUGCAGAAGAGGAGAGUGGAAUUCCACGUGUAGCGGUGAAAUGCGUAGAGAUGUGGAGGAACACCAGUGGCGAAGGCGACUCUCUGGUCUGUAACUGACGCUGAGGAGCGAAAGCGUGGGGAGCGAACAGGAUUAGAUACCCCAGUAGUCCCUGUCUCUUAUAC
rnacentral:rRNA from 1 species